rnacentral:tRNA from 1 species
UCCGGGGUAGCACAACGGUAGUGCAGCGCACUGUUAAUGCGAAGGUUGCCGGUUCGAAUCCGGCCCCCGGAGCCA